rnacentral:lncRNA from 1 species
CGAGAACAAAAGUGGCUCCAAUUAAUGUUUUCAACCUAGGGUAGGAACCUUGGCCUCUAGUUUUUAGAAUUUUCCGGCGAAUGUUAUCGCUUAGGACACCCACGUGCUGCCGGCGCGUGUGGUGGCGCGUGGGAUGCUGUGGCAGUGGGGCAUUGUGUCCCAGAGCAAUCCCCUGUUUGUCACGAGCGCGUAGGUUUGCUCGGAUUUGAAUUUGGUUACCGUUUGAGUCUUGAUCGGAUUUCGCCUAUUGUGCGAUUUCCAGGUUUCAUAUGUUCGGACCGUUGGAUCGAACUGAAACUCACGUAGUUGUACCUUUGUGUUUCUAGGAUCGUUUAGGAUUCGACCGAUCGUUGAUCGGAGUCCCGGAUACUCCGAAAUUCCAAACCCUAGGUCAGGCUAUGCUUUUAAUUAAUUAGUUUAAAUUUUGAAUGAAAUUAUAUGUGCAGAUAUCAGACUUGAUUAGACGUGGUAGGUCGAUGACGACUGCACCGAGUUCGGAUCCCCCGGCUCAGUCGGCCUCUGCUGCCACUGGUCCUGCUUUGCUGGACCACGUGGUGGUUGGUCCCGGGGCGUCCCAGGCGCCUGUGUCAUCUGCGUCAUCCGUGGCGCAGCCAGCUAGUGCUAGGCGGCGGCACUGGCCCACCGACACCAUCGACACGACAUCGACCGACGGUACUGGUACCUCGGGAUCACAGCCAGGUAUAACUACACUUUUGUAUUGUUAAUUUUAUAUUGAAAUUUGACAAUGUUUUUUUAUUUAACAUUAAUACCUUAUUUCUUUGCAGCGAAGAAGAACACCCGAGGACCGUGUCGUCAGCUGAAGACGGCGAAGGUCACCCGGGUGACCAACAGUCGUAUCAGCAUCGGAUACGACGAGCGCCAUCGGGCUGCACCGACGGCGGAGUUGCAUAGCUCCUU